UAAAUCUUUAUUUUCAUUUCAUUUUUUUAAAAUUCAUUCAGAUACAGAUACAGCUUUAAACACUGUAGAAAAUUACUUAACAGUAAAAUAAUACAUAUGAAUAACAGUAAAACCGUGCUUCAAAUAUACAUCUACCAGUUUUCUGCUGUUCUGCUGUAUCUACAACCGUGCAAGCAUGCCAUACGCUCAAUACAUCUUAUCCAUACCACAUUUUCACUGCUACCUACUAUUGGCUAUCUAUAAGGGGGCAGGGGGGAUUGAGUUUUUAUAAUUAAUGUAUCUAACCCAAGGGACCCAAACUUCGUUAUACUUUUCUCUAGAUAUCUUGUUUAAGGCUAUCCCAGCUUCCAUGCUACGUUUGUAAUCUAUCUGCGUACAAAUAUCGUGCCAAUUUAACACACCCAUUUUUCUCCAAUUUCUAGCCAUAACUAUUUUUAUAGCCAUACAAAUGUGGAUCAUAAGGAUUUUUAGUUUUAUAUUACUUUUUGGCAGGUCUAAAUGAAACAAAAACAUUUGAGGCGUAAUCACAGUCUGAAUUUCAAACACAAAAUCCAUCAAUUCCGCUAAAAUUAAUUUCAUAGGUUUCAACUCCUCACAGUCCCACCAGAUGUGGGAGAAUGAGCCUAACUCCCUACCACAUCUCCAACAAUCUGGUAGAAGUGUGGGUUGAAAUCUGUGAAGGCGGGUAGGGACCAAAUACCAACGGUAUACUAAUUUAAAGUAUACUUCCUGUAUAUUCACCCCAUGUAUAUAUCUUUUUACUGCUUGUAAACCCAAUAACCAAUCCUCGACCAAAGAUGAAAAAUGAAGUUCUUGCUCCCAUUUACUCAUUGCUGGCACUUUAUCUAUUUGCCUUUGACUUCUUAAAAAUUGAUUAAAUCUAGAUACGA